ACCAAGCGCGGUGGCGUGUGCCUGUAGUCCCAGCUACUCAGGAGGCUGAGGCUAGAGAUCGCUUGAGCCCAGGAGUUCUGGGCUGUAUUGCACUAUGCCGAUUGGGUUUCCACAUCAAGUUUGGCAUCAAUAUGGUGACCUCCCGGGAGCGGGGGACCACCAGGUUGCCUAAGGAGGGGUGAACUGGCCCAGGUUGGAAACAGAGCAGGUCAAAACUGCCAUGCUGAUCAGUAGUGGGAUCAUGCCUGUGAAUAGUCACUGCACUCCAGCCUGGGCAACAUAGCGAGACCCUGUCUCU
ensembl:misc_RNA Metazoa_SRP Metazoan signal recognition particle RNA